GACGAACGCUGGCGGCGUGCUUAACACAUGCAAGUCGAACGGAAAGGCCCUGCUUUUGUGGGGUGCUCGAGUGGCGAACGGGUGAGUAACACGUGAGUAACCUGCCCUUGACUUUGGGAUAACUUCAGGAAACGGGGGUAAAUACGGGAUGGGGGCUCCUGCUGCAGGGGGGGGGUUGGAAAGUUUCGGCGGUUGGGGAUGGACUCGCGGCUUAUCAGCUCGUUGGUGGGGUAGUGGCUUACCAAGGCUUUGACGGGUAGCCGGCCUGAGAGGGUGACCGGCCACAUUGGGACUGAGAUACGGCCCAGACUCCUACGGGAGGCAGCAGUGGGGAAUAUUGCACAAUGGGCGGAAGCCUGAUGCAGCAACGCCGCGUGCGGGAUGACGGCCUUCGGGUUGUAAACCGCUUUCGCCUGUGACGAAGCGUGAGUGACGGUAAUGGGUAAAGAAGCACCGGCUAACUACGUG
rnacentral:rRNA from 1 species